rnacentral:rRNA from 1 species
GGGGGAAGCCGGACUUGCUCUGGCUGACGAGUGGCGGACGGGUGAGUAAUGCAUAGGAAUCUGCCCAGUAGCGGGGGACAACCUGGUGAAAACCAGGCUAAUACCGCAUACGCCCUACGGGGGAAAGCGGGGGACCUUCGGGCCUCGCACUAUUGGAUGAGCCUAUGUCUGAUUAGCUAGUUGGUGGGGUAACGGCCCACCAAGGCAACGAUCAGUAGCUGGUUUGAGAGGAUGAUCAGCCACACUGGGACUGAGACACGGCCCAGACUCCUACGGGAGGCAGCAGUGGGGAAUAUUGCACAAUGGGCGCAAGCCUGAUGCAGCAAUGCCGCGUGUGUGAAGAAGGCCUGCGGGUUGUAAAGCACUUUCAGUAAGGAGGAAAACUUGUAGGUUAAAACCCUGCGAGCUUGACGUUACUUACAGAAGAAGCACCGGCUAACUCCGUGCCAGCAGCCGCGGUAAUACGGAGGGUGCGAGCGUUAAUCGGAAUUACUGGGCGUAAAGCGCGCGUAGGCGGUUAUGUAAGUCGGAUGUGAAAGCCCUGGGCUUAACCUGGGAAUUGCAUUCGAUACUGCAUGGCUAGAGUAUGGUAGAGGGUAGUGGAAUUCCUGGUGUAGCGGUGAAAUGCGUAGAUAUCAGGAGGAACAUCA